GAUGUUUUGCAUAUUGACUCCCUCGGUACUGCGCAAACGCAAGCGCGCUUAAAUUUGAAUUUGCAUGAAAACUUUAUAGUCUAAGAAACAUAACCUGCAAACGUUAUAAUUGAAAAAAAUUUAAUUUAGCUGCUUACCUAUUGUAAGUAGGUGUUGUAGGUAGGUAUAAUGUUAAUGCCAUGUUAUCAAGAUGAAUUUUGUUGUUAUCUACAUUUCAAGUACAUGGCUAUGAAUACCUCGAGGAAUUCCUAGAGUAUGCCAAAGGCGAUAGGAAGAAACUGUUUCACUAACAAUAACGUUACAAACCUACGGUAGAGAGAGAGUUGGGAAUGGGAAACAGUCGGCUUGCGAAACACAUAUGGAACACCGGAAUUCAAAAUAGGAAGAAAAGGGGAAGCAUAAACACAAUAUGGUAUAUAAUACACCAUGGUAUCAACUGACAGCAUUUGCGGAAGCUAAAAGUGCUACUAGUGUAAACAGUUUUGUGAGAACUUGCGACAGCAAUGGCUCACCCAACUUGCCCAACAGUUUAUCGUGACACUUUAUUGCUCACAGUGUAUAAAAUACAUGUGCAAGUUUCUCGCGCGAGAUUGUCGCAAGUAACUUGCUAGUCUAUCUGCACCUAGAUAGGAAAAAAUGGAGCACAAUAGUUUAUAGCUUGGUUUAUAGUGACUUAUCUGGUAGAAUACCUAUGUUAAUUUAUUUUCUGUACACCAUGAUGGUAGAAGGGUUUUGAUUAUAAUAAAUAAUAUUACAAUUCUUA